rnacentral:rRNA from 1 species
UGGGGAAUAUUGCACAAUGGGCGCAAGCCUGAUGCAGCCAUGCCGCGUGUAUGAAGAAGGCCUUCGGGUUGUAAAGUACUUUCAGUCGGGAGGAAGGUGGUAAGGUUAAUAACCUUAUCAAUUGACGUUACCGACAGAAGAAGCACCGGCUAACUCCGUGCCAGCAGCCGCGGUAAUACGGAGGGUGCAAGCGUUAAUCGGAAUUACUGGGCGUAAAGCGCACGCAGGCGGUUGAUUGAGUCAGAUGUGAAAUCCCCGGGCUCAACCUGGGAACUGCAUUCGAAACUGGCAGGCUAGAGUCUUGUAGAGAGAGGUAGAAUUCCAGGUGUAGCGGUGAAAUGCGUAGAGAUCUGGAGGAAUACCGGUGGCGAAGGCGGCCCCCUGGACAAAGACUGACGCUCAGGUGCGAAAGCGUGGGGAGCAAACAGG